rnacentral:lncRNA from 1 species
UAACAUUUUUUUGUACAAAGCAGAGUUUUUUCUGUAAUGGGUGCGUCAGGGAAGUGCCUCAAAUCAUUGAUCAGACUCAAGAAGCUCCAAUCAAGCGAAAACGUAAUCAUCACAAUAAAUCAUUACCCAAUUUACAAAAAUGCUAUUAACCCACAUAAGAAUUUUGAAUUUCUUUUUUUCCCCUCUGUUUUCUGAUAAGUGCUCUGUUAUGGGUUUUGUAGGAAAAGGUGGGUGGUAAAGGAUGGAGGAGUGUAAAAGGAGUUCAUGUGGCUGCAAAAUCAGAGCCGUACGAUUCUUCGAUUGGGGCUGAUGAUGGUGAGUUCAUUAUCUGAGAAAACCCAUUUUAUAAAAUUUUAAAACAUGAAAUCACCAAAAAGAUCAACCAUCGUUAUUGAUUUGUUUGGGCUGAUUGGUUCAACUCUGUCAAUUGUUGUAAUUU